GAUGAACGCUGACAGAAUGCUUAACACAUGCAAGUCGACUUGAAUUUGGGUUUUUAACUUUGGUUUGGGUGGCGGACGGGUGAGUAACGCGUAAAGAACUUGCCUCACAGCUAGGGACAACAUUUGUAAACGAAUGCUAAUACCUAAUAUUAUGAUAAUAGGGCAUCCUAUAAUUAUGAAAGCUAUAAGCGCUGUGAGAGAGCUUUGCGUCACAUUAGCUAGUUGGCGAGGUAACGUCUCACGAAGGCGAUGAUGGGUAGCCAGCCUGAGAGGGUGACCGGCCACAAGCGCACACAGACGCGACCAUUACGCAUUAGGGGGGCAGGAGUGGAAACUAUAGGCAGCUGGACCGAGUGUGUGAUGAAGGAAUUCUGUGUGUAAGAUGAAGUUUGUCGGAAUGAAAAGCAGUUUCAGUUGGGAAGAAACAAAUGACGGUACCAACAGAAGAAGCGACGGCUAACUACGUG
rnacentral:rRNA from 1 species